AGCAGCCGCGGUAAUUCCAGCUCCAAUAGCGUAUAUUAAAGUUGUUGCAGUUGAAAAGCUCGUAGUUGAAUUUCGGGGUUAGUACGCUGGUCAUGCCUUCGGUAUGUACUGGUGUUACCGAUUCCUACCUUCUGAAGAACCGUCAUGUCAUUAGUUUGGUGUGGCGGGGAAUCAGGACUGUUACUUUGAAAAAAUUAGAGUAGUUUAAAGCAGGCUCGCGCUUGAAUACAUUAGCAUGGAAUAAUGAAAUAGGACGUUCGAUCCUAUUUUGUUGGUUUCUAGGAUUGACGUAAUGAUUAAUAGGGAUAGUUGGGGGCAUUAGUAUUCAAUUGUCAGAGGUGAAAUUCUUGGAUUUAUUGAAGACUAACUACUGCGAAAGCAUUUGCCAAGGAUGUUUUCAUUAAUCAAGAACGAAAGUUAGGGGAAUCGAAGACGAU
rnacentral:rRNA from 1 species